AGAGUUUGAUCCUGGCUCAGAUUGAACGCUGGCGGCAUGCCUUACACAUGCAAGUCGAACGGCAGCACGAGAGCUUGCUCUUGGUGGCGAGUGGCGAACGGGUGAGUAAUAUAUCGGAACGUACCCUAGAGUGGGGGAUAACGUAGCGAAAGUUACGCUAAUACCGCAUACGAUCUACGGAUGAAAGUGGGGGAUCGCAAGACCUCAUGCUCAUGGAGCGGCCGAUAUCUGAUUAGCUAGUUGGUGGGGUAAAAGCUCACCAAGGCGACGAUCAGUAGCUGGUCUGAGAGGACGACCAGCCACACUGGAACUGAGACACGGUCCAGACUCCUACGGGAGGCAGCAGUGGGGAAUUUUGGACAAUGGGCGCAAGCCUGAUCCAGCAAUGCCGCGUGAGUGAAGAAGGCCUUCGGGUUGUAAAGCUCUUUUGUCAGGGAAGAAACGGUGGACUCUAAUACAGAUCACUAAUGACGGUACCUGAAGAAUAAGCACCGGCUAACUACGUGCCAGCAGCCGCGGUAAUACGUAGGGUGCAAGCGUUAAUCGGAAUUACUGGGCGUAAAGCGUGCGCAGGCGGUUGUGCAAGACAGAUGUGAAAUCCCCGGGCUCAACCUGGGAAUUGCAUUUGUGACUGCACGGCUAGAGUGUGUCAGAGGGGGGUAGAAUUCCACGUGUAGCAGUGAAAUGCGUAGAGAUGUGGAGGAAUACCGAUGGCGAAGGCAGCCCCCUGGGAUAACACUGACGCUCAUGCACGAAAGCGUGGGGAGCAAACAGGAUUAGAUACCCUGGUAGUCCACGCCCUAAACGAUGUCUACUAGUUGUCGGGUCUUAAUUGACUUGGUAACGCAGCUAACGCGUGAAGUAGACAGCCUGGGGAGUACGGUCGCAAGAUUAAAACUCAAAGGAAUUGACGGGGACCCGCACAAGCGGUGGAUGAUGUGGAUUAAUUCGAUGCAACGCGAAAAACCUUACCUACCCUUGACAUGUCUGGAAUCCUUGAGAGAUCAGGGAGUGCUCGAAAGAGAAUCAGAACACAGGUGCUGCAUGGCUGUCGUCAGCUCGUGUCGUGAGAUGUUGGGUUAAGUCCCGCAACGAGCGCAACCCUUGUCAUUAGUUGCUACGAAAGGGCACUCUAAUGAGACUGCCGGUGACAAACCGGAGGAAGGUGGGGAUGACGUCAAGUCCUCAUGGCCCUUAUGGGUAGGGCUUCACACGUCAUACAAUGGUACAUACAGAGGGCCGCCAACCCGCGAGGGGGAGCUAAUCCCAGAAAGUGUAUCGUAGUCCGGAUUGUAGUCUGCAACUCGACUACAUGAAGUUGGAAUCGCUAGUAAUCGCGGAUCAGCAUGUCGCGGUGAAUACGUUCCCGGGUCUUGUACACACCGCCCGUCACACCAUGGGAGCGGGUUUCACCAGAAGUGGGUAGCCUAACCACAAGGAGGGCGCUCACCACGGUGGGAUUCGUGACUGGGGUGAAGUCGUAACAAGGUA
rnacentral:rRNA from 1 species